rnacentral:rRNA from 1 species
AGUGAACGCUGGCGGUAGGCCUAACACAUGCAAGUCGAACGGUAGCACAGUAAGAGCUUGCUAUCACGGGUGGCGAGUGGCGGACGGGUGAGGAAUACAUCGGAAUCUACUUUUUCGUGGGGGAUAACGUAGGGAAACUUAUGCUAAUACCGCAUACGACUUACGGGUGAAUGUAAGGGAUCUUCGUACCUUGGGAGAUUGCAUGGGCCGAUGUCGGAUUAGUUAGUUGGCGGGGUAAAGGCCCACCAAGGCGACGAUCCGUAGCUGGUCUGCGAGGAUGAUCAGCCACAUGGGAACUGAGACACGGUCCAGACUCCUCCGGAAGGCGGAGGAGGGGAAUAUCGGACAUAGAGGACAGUCCUGCUCAGGAAAGACCGCGUAGUUGAAGAAGGCCUUCGAGUUGUAAAGUCCGUUUGUUGGGAAAAAAGAGCAGCAGGUUAGAACGCCGAUGUACUGACGGUACCCAAAGAGUAAGCACCGGCUAACUUCGUG